rnacentral:rRNA from 1 species
UAUCCCCCGUUUAAACCCAAACAUGUCUAUUUGGAGUUUUAAGAAGUCUGGCCUGCCCACUGAUAGAAAAUUUUUAAGGGCCGCGGUAUUAUGACCGUGCUAAGGUAGCAUAAUCAUUAGGUUUUUAAAUGAGAUCUUGUAUGAAUGGUUGAACAAAGAAAAAACUGUCUUUAAUAAUAAAAUUUGAAUUUUACUUUUAAGUGAGAAGGCUUAAAUAAUUUAAGGGGACGAUAAGACCCUAUAAAACUUUACAUUGAAAUUAUAUUUGGUUGAAUUUUAAAGUAAUAAAGAUCUAAAAUAAAGAUUGUUGUGUUGGGGCGACAAAAGUAGAAAUUAUAGUAGCUGCUUGAAAAAUAAUCACUUUUAAGUGAUAAAAGUUAUAGAUCUUAGUUAUAAAUUUAAAGAUUAAGUUACUUUAGGGAUAACAGUGUAAUUUUUUUUGAGAGUUCAUAUCGAAAAAAAAGUUUGUAACCUCGAUGUUGAAUUAAAAUAUCUAUAUAAUGAAGCAGUUGUAUAAGAGGGUCUGUUCGACCUUUAAUUUUUUACAUGAUUUGAGUUCAAAUCGGCGUGAGCCAGGUGGUUUUCUAAUCUAAACCCGG